AUACGUAGGGGGCGAGCGUUGUCCGGAAUGAUUGGGCGUAAAGGGCGCGUAGGCGGCGCGGUAAGUCUGGAGUGAAAGUCCUGCUUUCAAGGUGGGAAUUGCUUUGGAUACUGCCGCGCUUGAGUGCAGGAGAGGUUAUCGGAAUUCCCGGUGUAGCGGUGAAAUGCGUAGAGAUCGGGAGGAACACCAGUGGCGAAGGCGGGUAACUGGACUGCAACUGACGCUGAGGCGCGAAAGUGUGGGGAGCAAACAGGAUUAGAUACCCUGGUAGUCCACACUGUAAACGAUGAAUGCUAGGUGUAAGAGGUAUCGACCCCUUUUGUGCCGGAGUCAACACAAUAAGCAUUCCGCCUGGGGAGCACGGCCGCAAGGUUGAAACUCAAAUGAAUUGGCGGGG
rnacentral:rRNA from 1 species